UAAUUGAGUAUAAGCGGUUAGUGCGUGCAUUCGCAUGGGACAUUGCUCUACAG
rfam:Acinetobacter sp. ADP1 complete genome.